UCUAAGCAUGGUGGUAUAUGCCUGUAGUCGCAGCUACUUGGGAGGAUGAGGUGGGAGUAUCACUUGAGCCCAGGAGUUUUGGACUGUAGUGUGCUAUGCCAGUCUGGUGUCCACACUAAGUUCAGCAUCAAUAUGGUGAUCUCCUGGGAGCAGGGGACCACCAGGUUACCUAGGGGAUUGAACCAGCCCAGGUCAGAAAUGGAGCAGGUCAAAACUCCCAUGUUUAUCAGUAGUGGGAUAGCGGCUGUGAAUAGCCAUUGCACCCCAGCCUGGGCAACAUAGCGAGACACUGUCUCAA
ensembl:misc_RNA Metazoa_SRP Metazoan signal recognition particle RNA